GGGCCCGUCGUCUAGCUUGGUAGGAUGCGGGGUACACAACCCCGUGGUCCCGGGUUCAAAUCCCGGCGGGCCCACCA
rnacentral:tRNA from 2 species